GCACAAGCAGCGGAGCGUGUGGUUUAAUUCGUUGCUACACGAAGAACCUUUACCUGGGUUUGACAUAUAGGUUGUAGGGAACUGAAAGGGACCGACCCUUCGGGGAGCCUAUACAGGUUGUUGCAUGGCUGUCGUCAGCUCGUGUCGUGAGAUGUUCGGUUAAGUCCGCUAACGAGCGCAACCCUCGUCGUAUGUUAUAUGUGUCAUACGAGACUGCCGGUAAAAAGCCGGAGGAAGGUGAGGAUGAUGUCAAGUCAGCAUGACCUUUAUAUCCAGGGCUACACACACGCUACAAUGGUCUGUACAAUGGGUAGCCAAGCCGCGAGGCGGAGCCAAUCCUGAAAGCAGGCCUCAGUUCAGAUUGCAGUCUGCAACUCGACUGCAUGAAGCCGGAGUUGCUAGUAACCGCAGGUCAGCAAUACUGCGGUGAAUACGUUCCCGGGUCUU
rnacentral:rRNA from 1 species